CUCGAACCUCUAACUGGAGGGAGUUGGUUGUGGCCUUGGCCUGGAUCCUGCCAUGGGAUGGACGCUGCGGUUCCAAGUUGGUGGCCAGGAGAUGCUCCCCACGGAAGAGAGACAGUGUGUCCGACGGCGUGAUGACCAGGACAGUGGCUGAAGGAUAAGCAGCAGGGGCUCACUGGUCACAGGCCUCUCUCUGUGAGUUGGAGGCUCUGCUGAUCUUUGUGCGUGAGAAGCAGCUCCCACACCUUGAUGGCAGAGAAGUGGCCACAACAUGGCCCUUGUGGAGAAGCUGUAGCUGGGCUGGGGGAUCGCUGUCUACAUGGCAUGAGAGGAGGCCACGCCGUCCAGUCCCAACACCGGAGCCCAGCUAGGCUCCAAGAAGCACACCGAGCAGCCACGAACAGCCGUGUGGGGUGGCCACAGCACAAGGGUACCCAGACGACAUUGGCAUUCAUCUGGGCUCCACAUCUCAAACUGUGACCUGCUGCUGAACUGAGUCUUCCCAGAAGGGGUGACAUUUUCCAGCUGGGAUCAAGGUAUUAUAUUAUCAGCCACCUUGCGUGUCCCAUCUGAAGCAGAACACCCUCAGAGCAGUCCCCAAGACUGCCGCUAAUACACCCACCCCGUCACUGAGCAAUGCCUCCAAGUUCAUUCCCCCUUUAUUUGUUCCCCAACCCAGAUCCUGACAUACUAGAUAUCAGUCGAAAUGGCCUCUCUAGCUUUGUUGCUGUUUUGGCGGUUUUGAUGGUGAAUAAAUACUGUCAACUUGAAGGCUCAAGAAUCAUCUAGAAGAUGAACCUAUGGGCAUG